CAGUAGCCGCGGGAAUACCAGCAGCCCAAGUGGUGGUCGCGAUUAUUGGGCCUAAAGCGCUCGUAGCCGGGCCGGUAAGUCCCUUGUGAAAUCGGACGGCCUAACCGUUCGGCGUGCAAGGGAUACUGUCGGUCUUGAGGCCGGGAGACGUCCGAGGUACUCCGGGGGUAGCGGUGAAAUGUUCUGAUCCUCGGGGGACCACCGGUGGCGAAGGCGUUCGACGAGAACGGGCCUGACGGUGAGGGGCGAAGGCUAGGGGAGCAAACGGGAUUAGAUACCCCAGUAGUCCCUGUCUCUUAUA
rnacentral:rRNA from 1 species